rnacentral:rRNA from 1 species
UUGGACAGCCUUCUGAAAGGAAGAUUAAUACAAGAUGGCAUCAUGAGUCCACAUGUUCACAUGAUUAAAGGUAUUCCGGUAGACGAUGGGGAUGCGUUCCAUUAGAUAGUAGGCGGGGUAACGGCCCACCUAGUCUUCGAUGGAUAGGGGUUCUGAGAGGAAGGUCCCCCACAUUGGAACUGAGACACGGUCCAAACUCCUACGGGAGGCAGCAGUGAGGAAUAUUGGUCAAUGGGCGAGAGCCUGAACCAGCCAAGUAGCGUGAAGGAUGACUGCCCUAUGGGUUGUAAACUUCUUUUAUAAAGGAAUAAAGUCGGGUAUGCAUACCCGUUUGCAUGUACUUUAUGAAUAAGGAUCGGCUAACUCCGUGCCAGCAGCCGCGGUAAUACGGAGGAUCCGAGCGUUAUCCGGAUUUAUUGGGUUUAAAGGGAGCGUAGAUGGAUGUUUAAGUCAGUUGUGAAAGUUUGCGGCUCAACCGUAAAAUUGCAGUUGAUACUGGAUAUCUUGAGUGCAGUUGAGGCAGGCGGAAUUCGUGGUGUAGCGGUGAAAUGCUUAGAUAUCACGAAGAACUCCGAUUGCGAAGGCAGCCUGCUAAGCUGCAACUGACAUUGAGGCUCGAAAGUGUGGGUAUCAAACAGGAUUAGAUACCCUGGUAGUCCACACGGUAAACGAUGAAUACUCGCUGUUUGCGAUAUACAGCAAGCGGCCAAGCGAAAGCGUUAAGUAUUCCACCUGGGGAGUA